rnacentral:tRNA from 1 species
GUGGAUAUAGCUCAGUGGUACAGCACAUACUUAGCAUGUGUGAGACCCUGGGUUCAAUCCCCAGUAACUCCA